UGCCAGGCGGGAGACACACAGUGAACCCU
rnacentral:piRNA from 1 species